rnacentral:rRNA from 1 species
GACGAACGCUGGCGGCGUGCCUAAUACAUGCAAGUAGAACGCUGAAGCUUGGUGCUUGCACCGAGCGGAUGAGUUGCGAACGGGUGAGUAACGCGUAGGUAACCUGCCUGUUAGCGGGGGAUAACUAUUGGAAACGAUAGCUAAUACCGCAUAACAGUAGAUAUCGCAUGAUAGCUACUUGAAAGAUGCAAAUGCACCACUACCAGAUGGACCUGCGUUGUAUUAGCUAGUUGGUGAGGUAACGGCUCACCAAGGCAACGAUACAUAGCCGACCUGAGAGGGUGAUCGGCCACACUGGGACUGAGACACGGCCCAGACUCCUACGGGAGGCAGCAGUAGGGAAUCUUUGGCAAUGGACGGAAGUCUGACCGAGCAACGCCGCGUGAGUGAAGAAGGUUUUCGGAUCGUAAAGCUCUGUUGUAAGAGAAGAACGAGUGUGAGAGUGGAAAGUUCACACUGUGACGGUAUCUUACCAGAAAGAGACGGCUAACUACGUG